CCCCCAGACAGAGUGAUAUCGCUGAGGGUGCAAGAGAGCAGGGGCUCUGGAAACAGCGAGGGCUUUGACAGCAGUCUGCAGGAUGGGACAAGAGAGUCAGUGCCUGGUGAGAAAUGGAUAUAAUGUGAUUCUGGAGAAAUCUUAAAUGUAGACAGGCCAUCAGGGUUAUCUUUAUCAACAUCAGUGAUUUAGAGAGAAUGAUAGAUACAGAAGAUGUGGAAGACAAAUGCUGGACAUACACUGAUCAAGGCAAACAUCCUAAGAACUAACAGAAGAAGCUGGUGGGAUGGAGGGUAUCUGCAUUAUUUGAACAUUUAUUUUAAGCAGUGAGGAAGUCCAGACAAAGGAAGGAAGGCAGAGAGACAACUGGAAAGAGAGAGGUGGGGAAGAGCUGCGAAAAAGGAAGGCUUGGCAGAACAGAAUCUGGAACCAAAGGGCAUCUGAAAGACAGGAGUAACAUCUGAUGCUGGUGAUCUCUAUGGAGUCCAUUGGAGUGUCCUUCAGACAGGCCACAGCCUGGGGCACUCUCUUGACUCAAGACCAUCUCCUGGGUUUCUUUUGUCCCAGUGCUCAGCCCCAUUGGCCUGGGUCCUGAGAAAACUCAAACCUAGCUAUCUUC